UAAGAGGUCUAGCCUGCCCAGUGACUCAAUUCAACGGCCGCGGUAUCCUAACCGUGCGAAGGUAGCGUAAUCACUUGUUCUUUAAAUGAGGACUAGUAUGAAUGGCAUCACGAGGGUUAUACUGUCUCCCUUUUUUAAUCAGUGAAACUAAUCUUCCCGUGAAGAAGCGGGAAUAGAAUUAUAAGACGAGAAGACCCUAUGGAGCUUUAAACUAAGCAACAACUGUUCUAAAUUACUCCCUCUUCAGAGUUAAAAUUAUAUCUUAACAUUAUGAUUGCUAGUUUUUGGUUGGGGUGACCGCGGAGCAUAAAACAACCUCCACAAUGAAAGAAACUUAAUUUCUUAACCCAGAACUACAACUCUAAGUAUCAAAAAUUUGACAUACAUUGAUCCAAUAUAUUGAUCAACGAACCAAGUUACCCUAGGGAUAACAGCGCAAUCCACUUCAAGAGCCCAUAUCGACAAGUGGGUUUACGACCUCGAUGUUGGAUCAGGGUAUCCCAGUGGUGCAGCCGCUACUAAAGGUUCGUUUGUUCAACGAUUAAAACCCU
rnacentral:rRNA from 1 species